UACGGAGGGGGCUAGCGUUGUUCGGAAUUACUGGGCGUAAAGCGCACGUAGGCGGCUUUGUAAGUUAGAGGUGAAAGCCCAGGGCUUAACCCUGGAAUUGCCUUUAAGACUGCAUCGCUAGAAUCGUGGAGAGGUAAGUGGAAUUCCGAGUGUAGAGGUGAAAUUCGUAGAUAUUCGGAAGAACACCAGUGGCGAAGGCGACUUACUGGACACGUAUUGACGCUGAGGUGCGAAAAGCGUGGGGGAGCAAACAGGG
rnacentral:rRNA from 1 species